AAUAUUGCACAAUGGGGGAAACCCUGAUGCAGCGAUGCCGCGUGGAGGAAGAAGGUUUUCGGAUUGUAAACUCCUGUCUUCAGGGACGAUAAUGACGGUACCUGAUGAGGAAGCACCGGCGAACUACGUGCCAGCAGACGCGGUAAUACGUAGGGUGCAAGCGUUGUCCGGAAUUACUGGGGGUAAAGGGGGUGUAGGCGGGAUAGCAAGUCAGAUGUGAAAACUAUGGGCUCAACCCAUAGACUGCAUUUGAAACUGCUGUUCUUGAGUGAAGUAGAGGUUGGCGGAAUUCCUAGUGUAGCGGUGGAAUGCGUAGAUAUUAGGAGGAACAUCAGUGGCGAAGGCGGCCAACUGGGCUUUUACUGACGCUGAGGCUCGAAAGCGUGGGGAGCAAACAGGA
rnacentral:rRNA from 1 species